AGUGAACGCUGGCGGCAGGCCUAACACAUGCAAGUCGAACGGCAGCACAGAGGAGCUUGCUCCUUGGGUGGCGAGUGGCGGACGGGUGAGGAAUACAUCGGAAUCUGACUAUUUGUGGGGGAUAACGUAGGGAAACUUACGCUAAUACCGCAUACGACCAACGGGUGAAAGCGGAGGACCUUCGGGCUUCGCGCAGAUAGAUGAGCCGAUGUAGGAUUAGCUAGUUGGCGGGGUAAAGGCCCACCAAGGCGACGAUCCGUAGCCGGUCUGAGAGGAUGAUCAGCCACACUGGAACGGAGACACGGUCCAGACUCCUACGGGAGGCAGCAGUGGGGAAUAUUGGACAAUGGGCGCAAGCCUGAUCCAGCCAUGCCGCGUGGGUGAAGAAGGCCUUCGGGUUGUAAAGCCCUUUUGUUGGGAAAGAAAAGCAGUCGGUUAAUACCCGAUUGUUCUGACGGUACCCAAAGAAUAAGCACCGGCUAACUUCGUGCCAGCCGCCGCGGUAAAAC
rnacentral:rRNA from 1 species